rnacentral:rRNA from 1 species
AUUGAACGCUGGCGGCAGGCCUAACACAUGCAAGUCGAACGAGUGGCGGACGGGUGAGUAAUGUCUGGGAAACUGCCUGAUGGAGGGGGAUAACUACUGGAAACGGUAGCUAAUACCGCAUACCAUCAGAUGUGCCCAGAUGGGAUUAGCUAGUUGGUGGGGUAAUGGCUCACCGAGGCGACGUUCCCUAGCUGGUCUGAGAGGAUGACCAGCAACACUGGAACUUGGACACGGUCCAGACUCCAACGGGAGGCAGCGGUGGGGAAUAUUGCACAAGGGGCGCAAGCCUGAUACAGCCAUGCAGCGUGUGUGAAGAAGGCCUUCGGGUUGUAAAGCACUUUCAGCGAGGAGGCGUUACUCGCAGAAGAAGCACCGGCUAACUCCGUGCCGGCCGCCGCGGUAAUUC